UGUAACAAAACUUUUUAAUUUUCUCAAAAUUUCCUUCAAUUUACGUUAUAUUUUCUAAAAAAUGCAAAUGGUAUAUAGAAAAAAACAACAAAGAAUCAAAUGCCCUUAGCCUUGCUGCAGUUCCGCUCGAUGGAAUCUUUACAAUUUAUUACUAUAUAAACGAAUCAACGUAGAUUCAUUUUAUAUAACACUUCAGAUUUUCAAGUAAAUAUAUACCAAAAAUAUAAUACCAAAGACGCAACAUGCCUGCUCCCUGUGAACCAUGUAAAGACACCUGCAAGGAAGGCACCAGCUGCAAUGAUUGCUCUUGUGAUACAAACUGCAAUGACUGUUCCUCCCCUAGUAGUUGCUGCUAAUUUCAUCACUGCAUUACAUUCAGGAAAAUAAAUAAACUAUAAUGUGUUUUAUGGAUUUUUGUUGAAAAUAAACCGUAUAGAUACAA